GGUUAAGCGACUAAGCGUACACGGUGGAUGCCCUGGCAGUCAGAGGCGAUGAAGGACGUGCUAAUCUGCGAUAAGCGUCGGUAAGGUGAUAUGAACCGUUAUAACCGGCGAUUUCCGAAUGGGGAAACCCAGUGUGUUUCGACACACUAUCAUUAACUGAAUCCAUAGGUUAAUGAGGCGAACCGGGGGAACUGAAACAUCUAAGUACCCCGAGGAAAAGAAAUCAACCGAGAUUCCCCCAGUAGCGGCGAGCGAACGGGGAGCAGCCCAGAGCCUGAAUCAGUGUGUGUGUUAGUGGAAGCGUCUGGAAAGGCGCGCGAUACAGGGUGACAGCCCCGUACACAAAAAUGCACAUAUUGUGAGCUCGAUGAGUAGGGCGGGACACGUGGUAUCCUGUCUGAAUAUGGGGGGACCAUCCUCCAAGGCUAAAUACUCCUGACUGACCGAUAGUGAACCAGUACCGUGAGG
rnacentral:rRNA from 1 species